GCUAAACGCGAAGAACCUUACCUGGCCUUGACAUCCAUGGAAUCCCGAAGAGAUUUGGGAGUGCCGCAAGGAACCAUGAGACAGGUGCUGCAUGGCUGUCGUCAGCUCGUGUCGUGAGAUGUUGGGUUAAGUCCCGCAACGAGCGCAACCCUUGUCCUUAGUUGCCAUCAUUAAGUUGGGAACUCUAAGGAGACCGCCGGUGACAAACCGGAGGAAGGUGGGGAUGACGUCAAGUCAUCAUGGCCUUUAUGGCCAGGGCUACACACGCGCUACAAUGGCAGGUACAGAGGGAAGCCAACCAGCAAUGGGGAGCCAAUCCCAGAAAGCCUGUCUUAGUCCGGAUUGCAGUCUGCAACUCGACUGCAUGAAGUUGGAAUCGCUAGUAAUCGCAGAUCAGCAUUGCUGCGGUGAAUACGUUCCCGGGUCUUGUACACACCG
rnacentral:rRNA from 1 species